GAGCAUGACGGCAAGUGACGAUUUUCCCGGUUGAUCCCGCCGGGACUGACUGCUAUCGGAUUGAUACUAAGCCAUGCGAGUCAUUGUAGUAAUACAAGGCAGACGGCUCAGUAACGCGUAGUCAACCUACCCUAUGGACGGGGAUAACCUCGGGAAACUGAGAAUAAUACCCGAUAGAACAUUAUGCCUGGAAUGGUUUAUGUUUCAAAUAAUUUAUUGCCGUAGGAUGGGACUGCGGCCUAUCAGUUUGUUGGUGAGGUAAUGGCCCACCAAGACUAUUACAGGUACGGGCUCUGAGAGGAGUAGCCCGGAGAUGGGUACUGAGACACGGACCCAGGCCCUAUGGGGCGCAGCAGGCGAGAAAACUUUGCAAUGUGCGAAAGCACGACAAGGUUAAUCCGAGUGGUUUCUGCUAAAGGAACCUUUUGUCAGUCCUAGAAACACUGGUGAAUAAGGGGUGGGCAAGUUCUGGUGUCAGCCGCCGCGGUAAAACCAGCACCUCAAGUGGUCAGGAUGAUUAUUGGGCCUAAAGCAUCCGUAGCCUGCUUUGUAAGUUUUCGGUUAAAUCCAUACGCUCAACGUAUGGGCUGCCGGGAAUACUGCAAAGCUAGGGAGUGGGAGAGGUAGACGGUACUCGGUAGGAAGGGGUAAAAUCCUUUGAUUUAUUGAUGACCACCUGUGGCGAAGGCGGUCUACCAGAACACGUCCGACGGUGAGGGAUGAAAGCUGGGGGAGCAAACCGGAUUAGAUACCCGGGUAGUCCCAGCUGUAAACUAUGCAAACUCAGUGAUGCAUUGGCUUGAUGCCAAUGCAGUGCUGCAGGGAAGCCGUUAAGUUUGCCGCCUGGGAAGUACGUACGCAAGUAUGAAACUUAAAGGAAUUGGCGGGGGAGCACCACAAGGGGUGAAGCCUGCGGUUCAAUUGGAUUCAACGCCGGA
rnacentral:rRNA from 1 species